AGUGGCGCACGGGUGCGUAACGCGUGGGAAUAUGCCCUUGACUACGGAACAACACAGGGAAACUUGUGCUAAUACCGUAUAAUGUCUCCGGACCAAAGAUUUAUCGGUCAAGGAUUAGCCCGCGUUAGAUUAGCUAGUUGGUGAGGUAAUGGCUCACCAAGGCUACGAUCUAUAGCUGGUCUGAGAGGAUGAUCAGCCACACUGGGACGUGAGACACGGCCCAGACUCCUACGGGAGGGCAGCAGUGAGGAAUAUUGGACAAUGGGGGCGAACCCCUGAUCCAGCCAUGCCGCGUGAGUGAUGAAGGCCUUCGGGUUGUAAACUACUUUUAGUAUGUGACGAUGAUGACGGUAACAUCAGAAAAAGCUCCGGCUAACUUCGUG
rnacentral:rRNA from 1 species